GAAAUGCGAUAAUUAAUGUGAAUUGCAGAAUUCAGUGAAUCAUCGAGUCUUUGAACGCACAUUGCGCCCCCUGGUAUUCCGGGGGGCAUGCCUGUCCGAGCGUCAUUGCUGCCCUCUAGCACGGCUUGUGUGUUGGGCUUCCGUCCCUGGCAACGGGGACGGGCCCAAAAGGCAGUGGCGGCACCAUGUCUGGUCCUCGAGCGUAUGGGGCUUUGUCACCCGCUCCCGUAGGUCCAGCUGGCAGCUAGCCUCGCAACCAAUCUUUUUAACCAGGUUGACCUCGGAUCAGGUAGGGAUACCCGCUGAACUUAAGC
rnacentral:misc_RNA from 1 species